rnacentral:rRNA from 1 species
GAUGAACGCUGGCGGCGUGCCUAAUACAUGCAAGUAGAACGCUGAAGGAGGAGCUUGCUCUUCUGGAUGAGUUGCGAACGGGUGAGUAACGCGUAGGUAACCUGCCUGGUAGCGGGGGAUAACUAUUGGAAACGAUAGCUAAUAUCGCAUGACAUCAGUUAUUGCAUGAUAACUGUUUAAAAAGGGCAACUGCCCCACUACCAGUUGGAGCUUCCUUGUAUUAGCUAGUUGGUGAGGUAACGGCUCACCAACGCGACGAUACAUAGCCGCCCUGGGAGGGGUAACGGGCACACCUGGACUGAGAACAGGGCCAAGCUCCUACGGGGAGCAAGAGUAAGGGAUCUUCCGCAAUGGAGGGAAGGCUGACCGAGCCACGCCGGGUGAGUGAAGAAGGGUUUCGGAUCGUAAAGAUCUGUUGUAAGGGAAGAACGAGAGGGAUAGUGGAAAGUUCACGCUGUGACGGUAUCUAACCAGAAAGGGACGGCUAACUACGUG